AAUAGAAUGCCUGAAAAAGGGUUAUCUUGAUAGGAUAAAUCAUACAGGCAAUCCUGUUUCUAUUA
rnacentral:tRNA from 1 species